UCUGGAAGCACUGACUCUUCUUAAGCUCUACUUGUCAAAUGUGACAUCUCUGUAUUGCUUCUCUAGCUGGUGGGGUGCCAGUCUUCCCAGCUCGCGAGCACAAUGGGUCGUAUGUAUAUUUGUAACAUGGAUGUCUAUCCUUUUCUUCAUUAGAAGGUCCCUCCUUUAACAUGUGAAAUUAAGUAGAAGACUUGAUCUUACAGAUCUCUUGAGUUGUCCACACAGAAGUCUCUUCAAUGUUGUGCGGGAUUUCCCAUUGCUCCAAUUUCCACCGUGCCCCCCGGUGGUGAUAUUUUUGACUCUUGUUCUGUUUCAAUCCUGUCAUCUGUGGAUGAAAUAAUGCUCCCCUCGCUAGAACCACAGGAGAGACGGUUCUGGCGUCUGCUGCAUACUGUGUCCAUUCCUGUGCUGCCCGCAGACUAUGAAACCCUCAAUCACCAUGGUGAAUUUCCACUUGGAAGAUCUGUUGUCCUGUCUUCACUGUGAUGUCUUGGCAUCACUCGAGGUGUGAAAUGGCUCUGCGCCACAUGGAGAAAGAGCAAAAUGUCACUUUCGAGGUUUGUGACAAAAUUUCGUGAUAGAUUCUUCGGGUGGAGUGAGAGGCCUUUCUCACUGCUGUGACACUGCUGCUGAGGUGGAAAAGCUGAAGAACAGAUUAUUCAGUUUCUACACGGAGCCCUGCUCGACAUGAUGCUAAAACAUGGUGUUUUUUGGACCCAGGUUUUCACUGAUAACAAAGAGGAAGGUCAGUAGCAGAUUAAGACCAGGAAGCUGGUUUACAGCCAUCAUAAUCUGCAAAGAGGUCUCUGCCAGGGCAGCAAGCAUCCAUUUCUUUCUUCCAGUACAUCAGACAGUGGGCAGGAAAAGAUGAGCUUUCAAAGGGUCAGUUUUCUUCUACCAUUACAAAGUUUAGUGCCUUAAAAAAAAAAAUCAACAGAACUGGGAAAUCUCACUUUGGGAGACAGCCUGGCCCUUCUUCAUAACCCGUUCCUCCAAGCAAACUUGAUUUGCUUAUUAAAAUAGGCAUGAAGAAGCUCUUCCGUGAAGCUUCCUUUUCCACCUGAUGUGUAUGAAAGGUUUCAAGAACUUGGCUGCACUCCCCCAGCAGGGUCAACUCUUAAGACUGCUUCUGAAUCCUUCGGUUGUGAUGAAUGUGGGACACCUUUCGAGAUGGGGGAGUUCAGAUCUUGCACAGAAAGCUUCUUUGUUCCUCCAAGGACUUUGAAGACAUCGCCCACCCCUACAGUGGUUUGGAAUGUGGAGAGAGGAUUUUGGUUCUCACCAUUGACCAGGAGUUGUUCUUGGCUUUUGGUGGUAAUGUGCAGGAUGUUCUCACACCACAAGUAAUUGUCCGGCCUCAAAUCCCAACGGUCCCUUCACGUAGGAAACGUUCCCCACUCCUCUCCCAGGUCCUGCCUCUGGUUUAGGUUGUAGACUCUGGGAGAGAACGGGUGUGGUGGGCUCUCUUCACUGCCCUGACGGAAGGGCACCUAGAAGAGCGCCUUCCAUGCAGUGAGUGCUCAGUAAACAUUUGUUGAGGAAAUGCCACUUAUAAAGACAGUGAUUGAUUGGUGGACAAUAAGAUACAUAAAAUAAAAACCUACUGACCCAA
rnacentral:lncRNA from 1 species